AAUCAACGCUGGCGGCGUGCCUAACACAUGCAAGUCGAACGCGAAAGUGGAGCAAUCCAUGAGUAGAGUGGCAAACGGGUGAGUAACACGUGGGUGACCUGCCUUCGAGUGGGGGAUAACGUCCCGAAAGGGACGCUAAUACCGCAUAAUAUGCUGUCUUUUAAGAGAGAGACAUCAAAGCCGGGGACCGUAAGGCCUGGCGCUUGAAGAGGGGCCCGCGCCUGAUUAGCUAGUUGGUGGGGUAAUGGCUCACCAAGGCAACGAUCAGUAUCCGGCCUGAGAGGGCGGACGGACACACUGGGACUGAGACACGGCCCAGACUCCUACGGGAGGCAGCAGUGGGGAAUUGUUCGCAAUGGGCGCAAGCCUGACGACGCAACGCCGCGUGGAGGAUGAAGAUCUUCGGGUCGUAAACUCCUUUCGAUCGAGACGAAUGGCCCUUGGGAUAAUACCCUGAGGGAGUGACGGUACCGAGAGAAGAAGCCCCGGCUAACUCCGUGCCAG
rnacentral:rRNA from 1 species